rnacentral:rRNA from 1 species
CGGUUACCUUGUUACGACUUCACCCCAAUCAUUGGCUCUACCUUCGACUGCUGCCUCUUUACAGUUAGCUCACAGGCUUCGGGUAUUUCCAACUCUCAUGGUGUGACGGGCGGUGUGUACAAGGCCCGGGAACGUAUUCACGGCAGUAUGCUGACCUGCCAUUACUAGCAAUUCCAGCUUCAUGAAGGCGAAUUUCAGCCUUCAAUCCGAACUGAGACCGCUUUUAGGGUUUUGCUCCAUAUCACUAUAUUGCUUCCCUCUGUUACGGCCAUUGUAGUACGUGUGUAGCCCAGGACAUAAAGGGCAUGAUGAUUUGACGUCAUCCCCACCUUCCUCCGAUUUAUCACCGGCAGUCUCGCUAGAGUUCUCAGCAUUACCUGCUAGCAACUAACGAUAGGGGUUGCGCUCGUUGCGGGACUUAACCCAACAUCUCACGACACGAGCUGACGACAACCAUGCACCACCUGUAUACCAGUCCCGAAGGACUAUACUAUCUCUAGUAUAUUCCGGUAUAUGUCAAGCCCUGGUAAGGUUCUUCGCGUUGCUUCGAAUUAAACCACAUACUCCACUGCUUGUGCGGGCCCCCGUCAAUUCCUUUGAGUUUCA